AUGCCUUAUAUGAAGUCAUUGCAACAAACCAAGCCUUCCGGGAAAAUUCAACAGGUACAUGGUUUGAGCAAUGAGGAAGAGACAGAAUUGAACAAGGUGGAUCUUAGGAGUAGAGGGCUUUGCCUUGUACCUCUAUCGUGUGCUUCCUAUUUAAAUGGUUUUGAUUGAGGAAAUUAGAGGGAAGAUCAAGCAGUGAAGAUUGGAUUCAAGUAUCAUCAUCA